GCCUGUUCGUAAAUCUGUCUUCAAUAUUUUAAUCAUGAAUGUAGCAAACAACAAUUCAUAUGAACACGGAUGAAUUCUAGAUUCUCUAAGAAGGUUUAACAUCUGGAUUGCUCUUGUAAAGCUUAUUGUAUUCCUCGAGUUCUUCAUAAUACAUGUCCCACACGCAUCUAACACAUCCACUCCCGCAACAAUCGUCCGGCAACGGCUUCUCCGGCGGCGGUGGUAUGGUAACCUUUGAUUCUUCCUGUUUCUUCUCCGAUUCCGUUUUGUUAUUCGUCGUUGACUCAACGGUGAUCUUGUUAUCCAUCGUUGACUCUACGGUGCUUUUGAGAUUCGUUUCCUCGGCCAUCGGACCUUUGAGUGCAGCGAAAUUACGGCUUGAUAGAAUUCUAGGGUGACAGAAUCGGAUCAGAUUGGCAGUAUAGAUUCGUCCAAAAGUCAGAUCUGUUAUAGGCAUGAGAAAAGCGGAGGCGCGUUGGACAUUUUCCGGUGGCCGAUAGGAAAGAUUGGUUCUCAAUGGCGUCGU
rnacentral:misc_RNA from 1 species